AACAAGUUCUUGGAAAAAAAGUUAUCUCAAAGAUGGCCCUAUGCGAAGAAAAGAUAUGAAAGUCUUACGGAGAAAGAAAAGAAACCUAAACUUUGUUAUAAUAGGCAUUAAUUCUGCAAUACAAUUGCGAAAUUAUUUGUCUCAAAUUCUUUUUUAUGAUUAUUAUUACAAUAAUAGAUUAAAUCAAAAUUACUUCGAGAACUCAAUUGAUACUGUAUUGGAAUUCUAUAAUAAUGUAAAAGAAUUCAGUGGUAAUAUCGAUAAAUAUGUACAUCCAUUUCAUAAAAUUCGAUUUUUCCUGACCUUUACAAGAGCCUAUAAAGGUGCUAAAAUAUACGUUUUAUAUUGAGGAGAUUAAAUGCUGGUUAACACAAUUUCAACAGAAAAUUGAUCGCAAUUCAAUCCAAAAAUUUUGCAAUAUAGAAAUGUCUCACUAUGAGAAGCUAUCUUUGAUACGAAAUGAGUUGGACAGAUAUAUAA